UACGUAGGGGGCAAGCGUUGUCCGGAUUUAUUGGGCGUAAAGCGCGUGUAGGCGGCCACGCAGGUCCGCUGUGAAAACUCGAGGCUCAACCUCGAGCUGUCGGUGGAAACCGCGUGGCUAGAGUCCGGAAGAGGGGACUGGAAUUCCCGGUGUAGCGGUGGAAUGCGCAGAUAUCGGGAGGAACACCCGUGGCGAAGGCGGGUCUCUGGGCCAUAACUGACGCUGAGAAGCGAAAGCAUGGGGAGCGAACAGG
rnacentral:rRNA from 1 species